GACGACAGGAGUGCCCUUGACAGGCAGGGAGGGCUAGGCUGUGCGUUCCUCCGCUCGCGUUGUAGGGAGAGCCCUGCAGACCCCACAAUGCAGUCCUGGUGGCCUGACUGUAACACCCAGCCCAGCCCGGACAAUAUACAGCACGAGGAUCUCCUUGUCGACCUUUAAUAUCCAGGAUGGACCUGACUUUCAAGACCGAGUGGUCAACAGUGAGACGCCAGUGGUUGUGGAUUUCCAUGCACAGUGGUGUGGACCCUGCAAGAUCCUGGGGCCGAGGUUAGAGAAGAUGGUGGCGAAGCAGCACGGGAAGGUGGUGAUGGCCAAGGUGGAUAUUGAUGACCACACAGACCUCGCCAUUGAGUAUGAGGUGUCAGCGGUGCCCACUGUGCUGGCCAUGAAGAAUGGGGACGUGGUGGACAAGUUUGUAGGCAUCAAGGAUGAGGAUCAGUUGGAGGCCUUCCUGAAGAAGCUGAUUGGCUGACAAGCAGGGAUGAGUCCUGGUUCCCUUGCCCGCGUGGGACCCCAAUAGAACUCAGCCCUUCCACACCAGCCCUUCCUGCCGCCUCCCUCCUGUCUGGCUCCUGGGGCCCAUGCUUAGAGCCCAGGCUCCAGCCCUGAGUGCUUCUGAGCUUGCGGACUGCCCAGGGGCCAUCAGAGGAUGGUGCUGCUGCUGAUCCGGGGACCGCUGUCUUCCCUCCCACACGCCUUUCAUCCCUCCCUCUAGGGCCUAUGG
rnacentral:sRNA from 1 species